rnacentral:rRNA from 1 species
AUUGAACGCUGGCGGCAUGCCUUACACAUGCAAGUCGAACGGCAGCACGGGAGCAAUCCUGGUGGCGAGUGGCGAACGGGUGAGUAAUAUAUCGGAACGUGCCCAGUCGCGGGGGAUAACGCAGCGAAAGCUGUGCUAAUACCGCAUACGAUCUAAGGAUGAAAGCGGGGGAUCGCAAGACCUCGCGCGAUUGGAGCGGCCGAUAUCAGAUUAGCUAGUUGGUGGGGUAAAGGCCCACCAAGGCGACGAUCUGUAGCUGGUCUGAGAGGACGACCAGCCACACUGGAACUGGGACACGGUCCAGACUCCUACGGGAGGCAGCAGUGGGGAAUUUUGGACAAUGGGCGCAAGCCUGAUCCAGCAAUGCCGCGUGCAGGAUGAAGGCCUUCGGGUUGUAAACUGCUUUGUACGGAACGAAACGGCCCUUUCUAAUACAGGGGGCUAAUGACGGUACCGUAAGAAUAAGCACCGGCUAACUACGUGCCAGCAGCCGCCGUAA